CAGAAAUAUUACGUACUCCCACAGUUUUGGGAAUGUUGUGGAUUUGAUGGUUCUGUUAAUGCACCGUUAUCAUGUACCAGUACAGGUCAUACACACAGUGGGCAGCUGCAUAAAGAAAUAUUGCAGUUAUUGUAUAUUAUUUUUGAGAGGUGGGUGACAUCAGCGUACCAACACAUGCUGCCUCCUCCCUCUCUGCUGGAAUAUAAAAUGAUGAUAAAACAGCUGAUCUCAGAGCAGCUCCUGUGGUGUCUUUUGUUAAGAGACAUUGAAGCAGACGACUGAAGUUUGUUUCUGCAGCUCAACUAUCCGGCAAGGAAUCUUUUAAACUGUUGAGCUGCAAUGAGG